ensembl:misc_RNA Metazoa_SRP Metazoan signal recognition particle RNA
GCUGGGCGUGGUGCUGGAUGCCUGUAGUCCCAGUUACUAAGGAAGCUAAGGCAGGAAGAUCACUUGAACCCAGAAGUUCAGGACUGCAGUGAGCUAUAAGCACGCCAUUGCACUCCAGCCUGAGUGACAAAGUGAGAUCCUGUCUUAA